rnacentral:SRP_RNA from 1 species
GCCGGGUGUAGUGGCACACGCCUGUAAUCCUAGCUACUCAGGAGGCUGAGGCAGAAGAAUCGCUUGAGCCCGGGAGGCGGAGGUUGCAGUGAGCCGAGAUCACGCCAUUGCACUCCAGCCUGGGCGACAUAGUGAGACUCUGUCUCAA